rnacentral:rRNA from 1 species
GACGUAGGGCGCGAGCGUUGUCCGGAUUUAUUGGGCGUAAAGAGCUCGUAGGCGGCUUGUUGCGUCGACCGUGAAAACCCGGGGCUCAACUUCGGGCUUGCGGUCGAUACGGGCGGGCUAGAGUUCGGUAGGGGAGACUGGAAUUCCUGGUGUAGCGGUGAAAUGCGCAGAUAUCAGGAGGAACACCGGUGGCGAAGGCGGGUCUCUGGGCCGAUACUGACGCUGAGGAGCGAAAGCGUGGGGAGCGAACAG